GACGAACCGUACGAACGUUAUUCGGAAUCACUGGGCUUAAAGGGUGCGUAGGCUGCGCAGAAAGUUGGGUGUGAAAUCCCUCGGCUUAACCGAGGAACUGCGCCCAAAACUACUGUGCUCGAGGGAGACAGAGGUGAGCGGAACUUAGGGUGGAGCGGUGAAAUGCGUUGAUAUCCUAAGGAACACCGGUGGCGAAAGCGGCUCACUGGGUCUCUUCUGACGCUGAGGCACGAAAGCUAGGGUAGCGAACGGGAUUAGAUACCCCGGUAGUCCUAGCUGUAAACGAUGAGCACUGGGUUGAAGGCCCCCCCAUAGGUUUUCAGCCGCAGCGAAAGUGUUGAGUGCUCCGCCUGGGGAGUAUGGUCGCAAGGCUGAA
rnacentral:rRNA from 1 species